UACAGAGGUCUCAAGCGUUGUUCGGAUUCAUUGGGCGUAAAGGGUGCGUAGGCGGCGCCGUAAGUCUGGUGUGAAAUCCCGGAGCUUAACUCCGGAACUGCACUGGAUACUGCGGUGCUUGAGGACUGGAGAGGAGAAUGGAAUUCCCGGUGUAGCGGUGAAAUGCGCAGAUAUCGGGAAGAACACCCGUGGCGAAGGCGGUUCUCUGGGACGGUACUGACGCUGAGACGCGAAAGCGUGGGGAGCAAACAGG
rnacentral:rRNA from 1 species